CCUACGGGAGGCAGCAGUGAGGAAUAUUGGUCAAUGGGCGCUAGCCUGAACCAGCCAAGUAGCGUGCAGGAUGACUGCCCUCUGGGUUGUAAACUUCUUUUAUAUGGGAAUAAAGUGCAGUAUGUAUACUGCUUUUCAUAUAUCUUAUGAAUAAGGAUAGGGUAACUUCCUGCCCGCAGCCGCGGUAAUACGGAGGAUCCGCGGGUUAUCCGGAUUUAUUGUGUUUAAAGGGAGCGUAUGCGGGUUGUUAAGUCAGUUGUGAAAGUUUGCGGCUCAACCGUAAAAUUGCAGUUGAUACUGGCAGCCUUGAGUACAGUAGAGGUAGGCGGAAUUCGUGGUGUAGCGGUGAAAUGCUUAGAUAUCACGAAGAACUCCGAUUGCGAAGGCAGCCUGCUGGACUGUAACUGACGCUGAGGCUCGAAAGUGUGGGUAUCAAACAGGAUUAGAUACCCGUGUAGUC
rnacentral:rRNA from 1 species